UACGGGGGGAGCAAGCGUUGUUCGGAUUUACUGGGCGUAAAGGGCGCGUAGGCGGCGCAACAAGUCACUUGUGAAAUCUCCGGGCUUAACCCGGAGCGGCCAAGUGAUACUGUCGUGCUAGAGUGCGGAAGGGGCUACUGGAAUUCUCGGUGUAGCGGUGAAAUGCGCAGAUAUCGGGAGGAACACCAGUGGCGAAGGCGGCACUCUGGGCCGGAACUGACGCUGAGGAGCGAAAGCGUGGGGAGCGAACAGG
rnacentral:rRNA from 1 species